rnacentral:rRNA from 1 species
GAUUUCUGUCGCGACGGGUCGGCCCGUUUAGGUAACUAGAUGAGUGCUUUCCGUUGAUCGCGACAUCCUUGUACAUUUGCACUGCUCCUUGGUUGCUCUUAAUUGAGUGCUGAGUGUGGCAGGGCUGUACAUCAUUUACUUUGAACAAAUUAGAGUGUUUCAAGCAGGCUAUAUAGCCAUGAAUACAUUAGCAUGGAAUAAUAAACUAGGAAUUUUUUCUUAUUUUGUUGGUUUCUAAGAUUGAAUUAAUGAUUGAUAGGGAUAGUUGGGGGUGCUAGUAUUCAACGGCCAGAGGUGAAAUUCUUGGAUUCGUUGAAGACUAACUUAUGCGAAAGCAUU